rnacentral:rRNA from 1 species
GACGAACGCUGGCGGCGUGCCUAAUACAUGCAAGUUGAGCGCUGAAGGUUGGUACUUGUACCAACUGGAUGAGCAGCGAACGGGUGAGUAACGCGUGGGGAAUCUGCCUUUGAGCGGGGGACAACAUUUGGAAACGAAUGCUAAUACCGCAUAAAAACUUUAAACACAAGUUUUAAGUUUGAAAGAUGCAAUUGCAUCACUCAAAGAUGAUCCCGCGUUGUAUUAGCUAGUUGGUGAGGUAAAGGCUCACCAAGGCGAUGAUACAUAGCCGACCUGAGAGGGUGAUCGGCCACAUUGGGACUGAGACACGGCCCAAACUCCUACGGGAGCAGCAGUAGGGAAUCUUCGGCAAUGGACGAAAGUCUGACCGAGCAACGCCGCGUGAGUGAAGAAGGUUUUCGGAUCGUAAAACUCUGUUGGUAGAGAAGAACGUUGGUGAGAGUGGAAAGCUCAUCAAGUGACGGUAACUACCCAGAAAGGGACGGCUAACUACGUG